CUAUCGCUUACAGAUGGGCCCGCGGUGCAUUAGCUAGUUGGUAGGGUAAUGGCCUACCAAGGCAACGAUGCAUAGCCGACCUGAGAGGGUGAUCGGCCACACUGGGACUGAGACACGGCCCAGACUCCUACGGGAGGCAGCAGUAGGGAAUCUUCCGCAAUGGACGAAAGUCUGACGGAGCAACGCCGCGUGUAUGAAGAAGGUUUUCGGAUCGUAAAGUACUGUUGUUAGAGAAGAACAAGGAUAAGAGUAACUGCUUGUCCCUUGACGGUAUCUAACCAGAAAGCCACGGCUAACUACGUGCCAGCAGCCGCGGUAAUACGUAGGUGGCAAGCGUUGUCCGGAUUUAUUGGGCGUAAAGCGCGCGCAGGCGGUCUUUUAAGUCUGAUGUGAAAGCCCCCGGCUUAACCGGGGAGGGUCAUUGGAAACUGGAAGACUGGAGUG
rnacentral:rRNA from 1 species